rnacentral:rRNA from 1 species
AGGGUUUGAUCCUGGCUCAGAACGAACGCUGGCGGCAUGCUUUAUACAUGCAAGUCGCACGAGUAGCAAUACUAGUGGCGCACGGGUGAGUAACACGUGGGAAUCUACCUUAAAGAUUAGGAUAACUAUGGGAAACUAUAGCUAAUACUGAAUAAUCUGGAGACAGAAAAGAAGCAAUUCGCUUUAAGAUGAGCCCGCGGCUGAUUAGCUAGUUGGUGUGGUAAGAGCGUACCAAGGCAAUGAUCAGUAGCUGUUCUGAGAGGAAGAUCAGCCACACUGGGACUGAGACACGGCCCAGACUCCUACGGGAGGCAGCAGUAGGGAAUUUUGGACAAUGGGGGCAACCCUGAUCCAGCAAUGUCGCGUGAGUGAAGAAGGCCUUCGGGUUGUAAAGCUCUUUUAUUGAUGAAGAUGAUGACGGUAAUCAAAGAAUAAGUCCCGGCAAACUUCGUGCCAGCAGCCGCGGUAAUACGAAGGGGACUAGCGUUGUUCGGAAUCACUGGGCGUAAAGCGCAAGUAGGUUGCUGAUUAAGUCAGGUGUGAAAUCCUCACUCUUAAGGUGAGAACUGCACUUGAAACUGGACAGCUAGAGAACAGAAGGGGAUAGUGGAAUUCCCAAGUGUAGCAGUGAAAUGCGUAGAUAUUUGGAGGAACACCAGUAGCGAAGGCGUCUAUCUGGUCUGUAACUGACACUGAGUUGCGAAAGUAUGGGAAGCAAACAGGAUUAGAUACCCUGGUAGUCCAUACUGUAAACGAUGAGUGCUAAACGUUGGCCUUUCGGGGUCAGUGUUUGAGCUAACGCAUUAAGCACUCCGCCUGAGUAGUACGGUCGCAAGAUUAAAACUCAAAGGAAUUGACGGGGANCCGCACAAGCGGUGGAGCAUGUGGUUUAAUUCGAAGAUACGCGAAAAACCUUACCAGGGCUUGACAUAAUAGUAGAGAUUGUAAGAGAUUACGAUUGCAUUUAGUUGGACUAUAACAGGUGCUGCAUGGCUGUCGUCAGCUCGUGUCGUGAGAUGUUGGGUUAAGUCCCGCAACGAGCGCAACCCUCAUUUUUAGUUGCUAACAGGUAAAGCUGAGAACUCUAAAAAAACUGCUGGUUAGAAGCCAGAGGAAGGUGGGGAUGACGUCAAGUCCUCAUGGCCCUUACGUCCUGGGCUACACACGUGCUACAAUGGAGGUAACAAUAAGUUGCAAAAUCGCGAGAUGGAGCUAAUCUUAAAAAACCUCCUCAGUUCGGAUUGUUCUCUGCAACUCGAGAACAUGAAGUUGGAAUCGCUAGUAAUCGUAGAUCAGCAUGCUACGGUGAAUACGUUCCCGGGUCUUGUACACACCGCCCGUCACACCAUGGGAGCUGAUUUUACCUUAAGAUGGUAUACCAACCGCAAGGAGGAAGCCAGCCAAGGUAGGAUUAGUGACUGGGGUGAAGUCGUAACAAGGUAGCC